rnacentral:rRNA from 1 species
UACAGAGGUCUCAAGCGUUGUUCGGAUUCAUUGGGCGUAAAGGGUGCGUAGGUGGCAUGGUAAGUCGGAUGUGGAAUCCCGGGGCUCAACCCCGGAACUGCAUUCGAUACUGCUGCGCUAGAGUACUGGAGAGGAGAUUGGAAUUUACGGUGUAGCAGUGAAAUGCGUAGAUAUCGUAAGGAAGACCAGUGGCGAAGGCGGAUCUCUGGACAGUUACUGACACUGAGGCACGAAGGCCAGGGGAGCAAACGGG